rnacentral:rRNA from 1 species
UACAGAGGGUGCAAGCGUUUGUUCGGAAUUACUGGGCGUAAAGCGCGUGUAGGCUGCGAUGUAAGUCAGGUGUGAAAGCCCUCAGCUUAACUGAGGAAGUGCACUUGAUACUGUGUCGCUUGAGUGUCGGAGGGGGUGGCGGAAUUCCCGGUGUAGAGGUGAAAUUCGUAGAUAUCGGGAGGAACACCUGUGGCGAAGGCGGCCACCUGGACGACAACUGACGCUGAGACGCGAAAGCGUGGGUAGCAAACAGG